rnacentral:rRNA from 1 species
AGGUUACUGCUAUCGAGGUACGACUAAGCCAUGCGAGUCGAAUGUAGCAAUACAUGGCGAACUGCUCAGUAACACGUGGACAACCUACCCUUAGGUCAGGGAUAACCCCGGGAAACUGGGAAUAAUACCUGAUAUGGCGCGAAGGCUGGAAUGCAUCGCGCAAGAAAGCUCCGGUGCCUAAGGAUGGGUCUGCGGCCUAUCAGGGUAGUAGUGGGUGUAACGUACCUACUAGCCUACGACGGGUACGGGUUGUGAGAGCAAGAGCCCGGAGAUGGAUUCUGAGACACGAAUCCAGGCCCUACGGGGUGCAGCAGGCGCGAAAACUUUACAAUGCCGGAAACGGCGAUAAGGGAACCUCGAGUGCCAGGAUACAAUCCUGGCUGUCGUAAUGCCUAAAAAGCAUUUCAUAGCAAGGGCCGGGCAAGACCGGUGCCAGCCGCCGCGGUAACACCGGCGGCUCGAGUGGUAACCGUUAUUAUUGGGUCUAAAGGGUCUGUAGCCGGCUGGAUAAGUCUCUUGGGAAAUCCGGCAGCUCAACUGUCGGGCUUUCAGGAGAUACUGUCCGGCUCGAGACCGGGAGAGGUGAGAGGUACUUCAGGGGUAGGGGUGAAAUCUUGUAAUCCUUGAAGGACCACCAGUGGCGAAGGCGUCUCACCAGAACGGAUCUGACGGCAAGGGACGAAAGCUAGGGGCACGAACCGGAUUA